rnacentral:rRNA from 1 species
GACCAUUUAACAGUGAUAUGUUUAUAUAUAUAUUAGAGACAUUAUAUGGCGGUUGCGGGUUUAUUCUCGUAGCUGUUUCUGUGUAGUGCUCCACUGUUUUAUGAUAUAUAGUUUAUAGCCGGAGGCGUGCACUUCUCCCCUUGUAGGACGUCGUGACCCAUUGGAUUAUGUUGUCUAAGGCUUAUAAUGGAGACCGUGACAUUAGGGCCGAAAGGCCUCAUUGAUCCGGACUUAUAAUGUCCCGACAUCUAUCCGAUGGUAUAAUUAUGAUGAUAGAUCGCUAUAAAUGCGUAUGAGCGUUCAGAUCCAUAACAAAUUCUUUAUAUGAUAUUUAAAUAGUGGAAAUCGGAUUUAAUGCCGAUUCUACACAUAUGGUAUUGAUAGUUAUGGUAUUCUCGAACCGUUCUUUAUCAUCAGUCAACGGCGUUUAUGUUUUGGGUAAUUACAGGACCCGUCUUGAAACACGGACCAAGGAGUCUAGCAUGUGCGCAAGUCAUUGGGACUUUGUGAAACCUAAAGGCGUAAUGAAAGUGAAAUAUUUGUGAAUUUUCGUAAUUCACUGAAUUUAAGGGAAGAUGGGUAACGUUAUUUAUGUUACCUCGCAUUCCCGGGGCGUCGCGUACUUAUUGCAAGUUGCGGCRCACCAAGAGCGUACAYG